CCGCCGUCUCGGAGGGUUCUGUUUGCGAGCUGCUUUCUUCCUUUUUGCCCAGGCGGUUUCCUGGCUCCAUAGACGUAUUUUUCAAAGUGAAUGGGGAGGUAGCCAGACUUGUUGGGUGUCUCUUCCACCGUCACCGCGUUUGAGACGUGCAGAGGAGCCUCACCUCUGUUUCCUUUCCUGCAAGGGACCCCAGGGGAGGCUGGCCAAGCUCUGCCCAGCUGCACAAACCUUUUCACCGCUUAGGCCCUGGGUGACUUCAGUGAAUCCUAAACCGAACCCUAACGCUGACUUCUCUGACCCCGAUGUCACGCAGGUUUCGUGACAGAUGAAAGAAAGAUGAGGGAAAUAAGUUACCCAUGAUACUCAAAGAAAAAAAAAAUGCGUCUAGGCAAGAACCCACGAGGGCCUCAGAAAAGUGUGUGGGCAUGGGCAAGCUAGUAUGCGAGUACCGUAGCCCCUGCCGCAGGGUGCUCUGCACACACCCGUCAGAGGCCUUCGAUAGUUUACCGAGAGCGUUCAUAUAUGCGUGGCUGUGCUAAAUAAUGGUGGUAGAACUUAGCAUAUGCCAGACGCUGCAUUACCUACAUUGAAUAUGUAUUUGUUAUAUGCAUAUUAGGCCACUUAAUCCUCACAGGAGACAAUUACUUGUUUUAAGUCACACGGUUACUAAAAGCGGGAGGUGUACAAGGCGACACCCUAGAGAGGAUUAAGGGUAUAAGUGAUACUUGGCUUGUGAUUUCCUCACCUCCACCUGAGUUUCAGACAAAAGCUUAACGAAGCAACUCCGCUUUUAUUAAAGAGUGCACACAGCAGAGCAGAAGCUGAGCAAUUGCUGAGAAGGGCAUGGAGGUCGGCGAUGGCUUUGUCCUCCCUGUCCCUUGGGUUCACAACUCAGUCCCGGCCCUCUUCAACACCACUUAAGUCGAAUUUGAAGACAAUGGAAAUCGACUGACAAUAUAAACAUUCUCUGAAGACAAUCCAGAUGGCAUGGUGACUUCUUUUGCUAUCUAAAUGGUGCAGGGAUUGAACUUGGGACCUUGAGCUUGUGAGGCACAUGGCGGAACCACUAGGUCAAAUCCCCGGCAAAGUAGACUUUUUAUUACCCAGCUGCCACUCCUGUGUCCUUCCCUUGGAACCCUGGGACAUGUACGAUGUGAAAAGAGCAAUUCAUCUCCCACACAACUCUUGUCUGAAGCCUGUGGAACUGUACCCAACUGUCUCCCUCGUUUCUUGUUACUUAUGUUUCAUCAGUUCCAGCGUGCUUCAUGCUGCUGCUUCAUGAACUUUCCAGAAGUUGUCAAAGAAAGGUUUGCAUACCAUCUAUCUCAUGGCCAUAAAACUGCGAUUACAUCAUGGGUUGGAGCUGUACAGAUACUGCGUCAGGCCCAGGAAAUGACUCUUCAGUCCCCAGCAGAAACUCCCUCAGCCUUCUGCGCAGACCCUUCAGCCUUGCACCACAGACCCAUCGGCCUCCUGACUCGCACAGCACACUACACUGAGCUCCAGGCCUUCCCCUGGAUUAUUUGGAUCUCCAGUGCUCAGGCAGACCUUUUGUACUCUUCCACACCUGACUGCAGGCA